UAUAGUAGUACCACAAUUAAAGUCAAGCAGCGACCGAAUCAUCCAAACCUUAUUUUUAUGUUUUUUUACAUGAUCUAUACUGUAACUGUAAUGGAAUGGCAUUACUGUAAUUAAAUUGUCAUGUUCUUGUCUUAUUAGGUUUCCUACGAGUUAUUGAAGAAUGUGUUUAUCCCAUAGUAGAGCCGCUGACGCAAGACUGGAUUCCUGCUUGAUCAAUGCCAAACUAAAACAACACGUUCUUCAGAUCCUGAGACUGGCAUCAAUUCUGGGAGCAAUUAAAAUGGAAGCUUUCGUAAUCUUCAAAGGUCAUUCACUUCGAGACAUCUUUACUCAGAGGCAGAUAAAUGUACCAAACUAUUGAACAUGCAGUUUGGAUAGAUAUCCCUCUGAUCCACAUGAAAGGUCUUCUUUAGCUUGUGGAAUAGGUAUUUUAAGGUUGAUGGCGCCCUCUAGUGUCUGUUUAGAAGUAGUUCAACAGAAAAAUGAUUAUUACUGGAGCAUUAUAACUUUCACAAAAGCAGACUUUACCCUAUUUCAUUUAUUUUUUAUUAUUACUAUACAUCACAAAGAAACAAGAAAAAAAAACGAAUCAAGAUCAGAAUAGACUCCAGAACGUUUUUAUAACCAACUUGAAUAUUUCAAAUAUG